rnacentral:rRNA from 1 species
AGUCGAUGGGAAACAGGUUAAUAUUCCUGUACUUGGUGUUACUGCGAAGGGGGGACGGAGAAGGCUAUGUUGGCCGGGCGACGGUUGUCCCGGUUUAAGCGUGUAGGCUGGUUUUCCAGGCAAAUCCGGAAAAUCAAGGCUGAGGCGUGAUGACGAGGCACUACGGUGCUGAAGCAACAAAUGCCCUGCUUCCAGGAAAAGCCUCUAAGCAUCAGGUAACAUCAAAUCGUACCCCAAACCGACACAGGUGGUCAGGUAGAGAAUACCAAGGCGCUUGAGAGAACUCGGGUGAAGGAACUAGGCAAAAUGGUGCCGUAACUUCGGGAGAAGGCACGCUGAUAUGUAGGUGAAGUCCCUCGCGGAUGGAGCUGAAAUCAGUCGAAGAUACCAGCUGGCUGCAACUGUUUAUUAAAAACACAGCACUGUGCAAACACGAAAGUGGACGUAUACGGUGUGACGCCUGCCCGGUGCCGGAAGGUUAAUUGAUGGGGUUAGCCGCAAGGCGAAGCUCUUGAUCGAAGCCCCGGUAAACGGCGGCCGUAACUAUAACGGUCCUAAGGUAGCGAAAUUCCUUGUCGGGUAAGUUCCGACCUGCACGAAUGGCGUAAUGAUGGCCAGGCUGUCUCCACCCGAGACUCAGUGAAAUUGAACUCGCUGUGAAGAUGCAGUGUACCCGCGGCAAGACGGAAAGACCCCGUGAACCUUUACUAUAGCUUGACACUGAACAUUGAGCCUUGAUGUGUAGGAUAGGUGGGAGGCUUAGAAGUGUGGACGCCAGUCUGCAUGGAGCCGACCUUGAAAUACCACCCUUUAAUGUUUGAUGUUCUAACGUUGACCCGUAAUCCGGGUUGCGGACAGUGUCUGGUGGGUAGUUUGACUGGGGCGGUCUCCUCCUAAAGAGUAACGGAGGAGCACGAAGGUUGGCUAAUCCUGGUCGGACAUCAGGAGGUUAGUGCAAUGGCAUAAGCCAGCUUGACUGCGAGCGUGACGGCGCGAGCAGGUGCGAAAGCAGGUCAUAGUGAUCCGGUGGUUCUGAAUGGAAGGGCCAUCGCUCAACGGAUAAAAGGUACUCCGGGGAUAACAGGCUGAUACCGCCCAAGAGUUCAUAUCGACGGCGGUGUUUGGCACCUCGAUGUCGGCUCAUCACAUCCUGGGGCUGAAGUAGGUCCCAAGGGUAUGGCUGUUCGCCAUUUAAAGUGGUACGCGAGCUGGGUUUAGAACGUCGUGAGACAGUUCGGUCCCUAUCUGCCGUGGGCGCUGGAGAACUGAGGGGGGCUGCUCCUAGUACGAGAGGACCGGAGUGGACGCAUCACUGGUGUUCGGGUUGUCAUGCCAAUGGCACUGCCCGGUAGCUAAAUGCGGAAGAGAUAAGUGCUGAAAGCAUCUAAGCACGAAACUUGCCCCGAGAUGAGUUCUCCCUGAC